rnacentral:rRNA from 1 species
UACGGGGGGGGCAAGCGUUGUUCGGAAUUACUGGGCGUAAAGGGCGCGUAGGCGGUCCGCUAAGUUGGAUGUGAAAACUCUGGGCUUAACCCAGAGCCUGCAUUCGAAACUGACGGGCUGGAGUUCUGGAGGGGAUAGCGGAAUUCCUGGUGUAGCGGUGAAAUGCGUAGAUAUCAGGAGGAACACCGGUGGCGAAGGCGGCUAUCUGGACAGAAACUGACGCUGAGGCGCGAAAGCUAGGGGAGCAAACAGG